rnacentral:rRNA from 1 species
CUUAGUGGCGGACGGGUGAGUAACGCGUGGGGAACCUGCCCUGUACAGGGGGAUAACACUUAGAAAUAGGUGCUAAUACCGCAUAAGCGCACGGUCCUGCAUCGGGACAGUGUGAAAAACUCCGGUGGUGCAAGAUGGACCCGCGUCUGAUUAGCUGGUUGGCGGGGUAAAGGCCCACCAAGGCGACGAUCAGUAGCCGGCCUGAGAGGGUGGACGGCCACAUUGGGACUGAGACACGGCCCAAACUCCUACGGAAGGCAGCAG